AAGUCGUAACAAGGUUUGCGUAGGUGAACCUGCGGAAGGAUCAUUAACACGUAUCCAAACGUUAAAACCCUCCCCGUGAACAUUCAAUCCUGCUCUUGUAACCCGCGGCGCUUGCAAUCUCUGGUAAAUCAAUGUGGGAGGAAAGCAGUUUGAUUCAGAGACCUCUGGCCCGUGAGAAAAUUGGAACAGUUUCGAGCGGUAGGUUUAUAGUGUCUGAAAGCGUCAUUGAUUGUGCAAGGAUAGGAGCUAGGCCAAAGGGUCACCAUGCCCCCUUACAACCCCACAGUUUAUUGCAAAGCUCAAUGUAAUACAUUGGGUAAAAAAACUUGAACAACUGUUAACAAUGGAUAUCUUGGUUCUC
rnacentral:misc_RNA from 1 species